UAGAAGUUAGUUAAAUUUAUAACUUAUAUUUGUCAUAUUUAAAUUACCAUAAGGUACUUCUAU
rnacentral:tRNA from 1 species